CCCGUUUGCGUCUUCACCAGUCCAGGUGCUACCUCCUCCAAUGCUCAAGAUUUAGUCUAUUAAGUAACAAAAAAUCAAAAGAUUGAUCCUGCAGAGAUGAAGGCUUCAGAAGACCAACAUGGUAGCAAGCAUAUUAGAACUGAAUAUAAAAUUACAGCAUGCACAUGUCGCAUUGAUAUGCAUAAUUAGAAUUUUACAGGGCCAGAAAAAUGACACUGUAGUUCACUGAUGCGGUUAGAGGUUUGUGCAUCCAACCAUCCAAGUAUAAAUGUAGAUCCUACCUCUAAUAACAGUUUCACUCAGUCAGGAAACUGUGCUGAAUGUUAGUGUUACCUCUCUAAAUGAACAAGAAGUCCUUCUGUUCCUUGAAAGAGAUCAUCAAUGGAUGAGAUAGCUAAGCAUAUAAGGCCUCAUGAUUGCUCUUUCCUAAAUGAGGCAUAAUAUUAGGAAAAAUAUAACACCUCAUUUGGCAUCAGAGAUUUAUAAAGUACUUGAUCAAGUAAGAUCAUAGAAAGCAACAGUUGAGCAUGUACCUUGUCACAGAUCUUCAUACUCAUAGGUGGAAUGUGUGGUUGUAUGGUAGUUCCUGGUUGUUGCUAUAUAAUCUGCACUCCGAUCAAGUAUUGGAAUGAACAGUUUUGAGCAUAAUCAAAG
rnacentral:lncRNA from 1 species